UACGUAGGUGGCAAGCGUUAUCCGGAUUUAUUGGGUGUAAAGGGCGUGUAGGCGGGAGCGCAAGUCAGAUGUGAAAACUCAGGGCUCAACCCUGAGCCUGCAUUUGAAACUGUGUUUCUUGAGUGCUGGAGAGGCAAUCGGAAUUCCGUGUGUAGCGGUGAAAUGCGUAGAUAUACGGAGGAACACCAGUGGCGAAGGCGGAUUGCUGGACAGUAACUGACGCUGAGGCGCGAAGGCGUGGGGAGCAAACAGG
rnacentral:rRNA from 1 species